rnacentral:misc_RNA from 1 species
UCAGAGCCACUAACAGCAGCAGGAA